UGAUAGAGAUCACAAAGAACAUUACUAGUGUCGGGUAGUGUUAGGCUGCUUGAAACGUUAAUAAUAUUUUUUCCCCUAAUCAACAUGAAUAUAAUUAGUCUCAGUUUAAUAUAGACAGUCAGUUGAUAAAUUGUUCAGUAUGGACAACGAUAGUUAACGUUAACCUGGGCUAGCGAGCUGGUUUAGUUAUCAUGUUCCUAGCAAGCUAACACUUUAGCAGAGUCAUUUUAAGUAAUGUAGCUCGCUUAUAGCUAUCGAAGUUGGAAAGUUUUGUUCAUAAUAUUGGUUAUGUUGUGUGGUGGGCGUUUUGGUCUCUUUAGUUCUUUCCUCUGAAUCAUUCUUGAAUUCAGUUGUGCGUUGGUAGCGUUUGACUGUUUGUAGGCAAUCCAAACGGACGAAUUAAUCACAAGAAACUAACGUUACGUUUUAAGUUCAGGUGUGCUUUCCCCAAAAGACAGGACAUUAAAUUGAUCCGCCCUAACGCUAACAUCAGCCUGCCCUCCAUCCAGGUGCACCAGCAGAGAGCUUUGCUUGAGAUUCAAAUCUUCUCUCAUUGAGCCUAAUGAAUACGUUACUCUCAAGUGUAUUGACUUCCAUACACAGUACUGUACAAAGGUUUUAGGCAGGUGUUGAAAAAAUGCUGUAAAGUAAGAAUGCUUUAAAAACGAGAAAUGUUAAUAGUUUAUUAUUAUCAAUUAACAAAAUGCAAAGUGAGUGAACAGAAGAAAAAUCUAAAUCAAAUCAAUAUUUGGUGUGACCACCCUUUGCCUUCAAACCAGCAUCAGUUCUUCUAGGUACACUUGCACAAAGUCAGGGAUUUUGUAGGCAUAUAGUCAGGUGUGUGAUUAACCAAUUAGACCAAACAGGAGCUAAUGAUCAUCAAUUUACUAUGUAGGUUGAAACACAAUCAUUAACAGAAACAGAAACUGUGUAGCUGUGCUAAAACUGAGUGAGGAACAGCCAAACUCUGCUUCCAAGGUGAGGUUGCUGAAGACAGUUUAAUGUCAGAAGUCAUACACCAUGGCAAGACUGAGCACAGAAACAAGAGAGAAGGUAGUUACACUGUGUCAGCAAGGUCUUUCUCAAUCAGAAAUUUCAAGACAGACUGGGGUUUCCAGAUGUGCUGUCCAAGCUCUGUUGAAGAAGCACAAAGAAACGGGUGACGUUGAGGACCGUAGACGCAGUGGUCGGCCGAGGAAACUUAGUGCAGCAGAUGAAACGCACAUCAUGCUUACUUCCCUUUGCAAUCGGAAGAAGUCCAGCAGUGCCAUCAGCUCAGAAUUGGCAGAAACCAGUGGGACCCAAGUACACCCAUCUACUGUGUGGAGAAGUCUGGUCAGAAGUAGUCUUCAUGGAAGAAUUGUGGCCAAAAAGCCAUACCUCCAACGUGGAAACAAGGCCAAGCGACUCAACUAUGCAAGAAAACACAGGAAUUGGGGUGCAGAAAAAUGGCAGCAGUUUUUGUCACGUUUUUCUAAAAAAAUGAAAAAUAAAAAAACCGGGGAGGUCGAUAACGGCAUGCGAUUGCCACGUCUUUAUACAUCACAACUUUAUCGACGCCCCAUUCAAGAAAGGAAUACAGGCAGGAGGAAGACUGCUUUGGAUUUCGGAAGCCAUACCAACCCGGAUAAGGAAAAACGGCCUGAGGGCACGGACGGGCCGCAUACAUUUAACUAAUCGGGAUGAGGACAAUACGCCCAGUCCUGCAGACCAGACUGGUUGGGGCCCUGUACUAAGUGGGAGGUUCCUGUCAUAUUCACAAACCACACACAAUGUAUCAAGCAAGGACAAUAUGCCCAGCUGUAGUUGGAUUUGCCGAUUGGACAUGGUGGAAAGACGGUGAAGCAUCAGGACACGUGGAAGAAUUGCUUUGCAAAAUAGAGCAAUUCGGUGUUACAGGAAACGCCUAUUAUUGGACAUAUAAUAACAUAAUAGCUGGGUUUUAGGGAAAAGAUAACAUGGGGAGAUGGGCUGUGAAGCGUUAAUCAAAAAGUUACCCUGGUCUUACAAUGAUGCAUCCAAAUUGAUAUGAUGAAAACAAUAUGAAGGUUCAUGUGAGAAUAGGCAAUGUCACCCUCUGAAGGAACGUGAAGAAUCAAGCUGUUGAACUGGAACAGAUGACCCUCUGGGCCCACAAUUGUAUGUGCACAUCUUUCUAAAAAAAUAAUAAUGAUAAUCUUCAACAGCAUUGAACAAAACUGGCUGCACCUGAUUCCGCGAGAAGGCAACAUUUUUUGACAAUAUUUUUUAAAAUAGAAAUCAAUUAUGUAUGUAAUAUGUAUCAGUUAUAAUAUGGUAUCUUUGUAUGCUAUUUAUGAUUUAGAUAAUGUCAUUGUUGUGUAUGCUCAGUGUUGUAAAAGGGUUGGACUGCUAAGAGCUAAGACAACACAUUAUACAUACAAUACACUGCAAUGAAACAAGCACUCAUAAAUGGUAUGGUUUCUACUCAUUCUUAUCUGACCACUGAGAUGGAAGCUCAGGAGAUCAAGAGGGUGGGGCUGAUAUCAGAUGGUGUAUCAAUGGUUUAUUCUGAGUCACCUCACAGACUUCUAUGUGAUAAUAUAAGGUGUUAAUCACCCCCUGGUUUCUGUCCAGCAUGCACUGUUCAGAUGAGAAACAUUUGUACACCUACCCUUGAUGCCAGUGAGUUCAACAUCCUGGUCACAUGGGACAAUACCCACCUGGCUCCUGAAUUAAAUGUGUGUGCAGGCAUCCAUGCUCAGGUGAAAGUGGUUAUGGAAACACUCCCCAAAGCUAAAGUGCAGGUGAACUUGGCCUAGGCAGACGCCACAGUCCUGAAGUGAUAAAGAUGGUCUGGAAAAAACACAUUUUGUGACUGGAUAUUCCUGGUAAUUGUAGGGUUAAAGGUCAUUUUUGUCCUCAUAAAACUAAUACAGUGUUGUUGGUGGCAUAAAAGAAAAAUCAGUUGGAGAAAGCCGUGGAUAGAAAUGAAACUGAAAUGGCUCAGAAAUAACCUCUUAAUAAUGACAUUUUGUUUUCUUUCCAUCUUUGGUAAAUUAUUUUUCUUCAUGUUGACCUCUUAUUAUUGAAAUUGAUCUGGAAGAGAAGGGCUCUCGAGUGUUUCCUGAUAGAGGUCAUAAAGACAGCCUUACUAACGUGAGGUAAUGUUAGAUUGCUUGCAACAUAAAAAAAUUUUCCCUUAAUCAACAUGAAUAUAAUUAGUCUCUAAAUGUAAUAUAGCUAGUCUGUUGAUAAUAAAUGUUGAUAAUGUUCAUUAUA